rfam:Triticum aestivum genome assembly, contig: Triticum_aestivum_CS42_TGACv1_scaffold_405803_5BL
CAUAUACUCCCCCCGUCCCUAAAUUCUUGUCUUAGAUUUAUCUAGAUACAGAUGUAUCUAACACUAAAAUGUGAAUAGAUACAUCCGUAUGUACACAAAUCUAAGACAAGAAUUUUGGGACGGAGGGACCGGAGU